rnacentral:sRNA from 1 species
UGGCUCAAGACGUACUGCGGCGAGGCUGU